GAGGGAUAGACCACAGGCUGCUUGUUGUUCGGGUUUCACAAGUUUGCCCUCUGGUUUUACUGUUAAAGAGAGGCCAUUGUAACUGAGAACUAGCUUCGAAUACAGCUGCUGCUACAUCUUUCCAGGCUUAUGAGAUAAUCCUGUUUUUGGUAGCCAGGUAUUUAACAUCUGUCUUUCAACGGAAAGAACCCAGAUGCCCCUCAACAGAGGAAUGGAUACAUAAAAUGUGGUACAUUUACACAAUGGAGUAUUUCUCAGCUAUUAAAAAAAAUGAAUUUAUGAAAUACCUAGGCAAAUGGAUGGACCUAGAGGGCAUCAUCCUGAGUGAGAAGCAAAGCUUGAAUGAGCAGCUUUCUUUUGUCAGGGGGGCUAUUACUUCUCUUAAGAAUAGAUUUCUAGGGGUUAAACUAUUGGCUGAAAGAUACAGGAACUAUCUUUUCCUGAAGAUUUUGGAAGAAAGGAAAUCCAGCCUCUGAGGCUUUGAUGGAACUUGAUCAAGAGUGUUCCUCUAGAAUCUGAAGUUUAUAAACUUUGUUAAUACUGAGAAAUGUCUCCAUCCUAGGAACACUCCUCCAUUGUUGGUGGGAUUGCAAGCUUGUACAACCACUCUGGAAAUCCGUCUGCGGUUCCUCAGAAAAUUGGACAUAGUACUACUGGAGGAUGCUGCAAUACCUCUUCUGGGCAUAUAUCCAGAAGAUGUUCCAACU
rnacentral:lncRNA from 1 species